UACGGAGGGGACUAGCGUUGUUCGGAAUUACUGGCGUAAAGCGCACGUAGGCGGAUUUGUAAGUCAGGGGUGAAAUCCCGGGGCUCAACCCUCGGGAACUGCCUUUGAUACUGCAAAUCUCGAGUCCGGAAGAGGUGAGUGGAAUUCCCUAGUGUAGAGGUGAAAUUCGUAGAUAUUAGGAAGAACACCAGUGGCGAAGGCGGCUCACUGGUCCGGUACUGACGCUGAGGUGCGAAAGCGUGGGGAGCAAACAGG
rnacentral:rRNA from 1 species